rnacentral:rRNA from 1 species
CAGCCGCCGCGGUAAUACGAAGGGGGCAAGCGUUGUUCGGAAUUAUUCGGCGUAAAGGGUGCGUAGGCGGUUUGACAAGUCUUGUGUGAAAUCUCUGGGCUCAACCCGGAGUCUGCACGGGAAACUGUCGGGCUAGAGGAUGGGAGAGGUGAGUGGAAUUUCCGGUGUAGCGGUGAAAUGCGUAGAUAUCGGAAGGAACACCUGUGGCGAAAGCGGCUCACUGGACCAUUUCUGACGCUGAUGCACGAAAGCUAGGGGAGCAAACAGGAUUAGAUACCCCAGUAGUCCCUGUCUCUUAUAC